CUCAUAUCUCAGAAAUGCACAUUUGGUAGAUACAUUGAUAAGCAAACAUAGUAUUAAAAAUCCUGGAAAGUGACACGUCCUCAUUAAAAGAAAUACAAAUUAGUGCUAAUUAUAAUGUCACUUGUUUUAUAAUCAAGAGGAAACAUUGGUUCAAUGAGAAGAAAGAAAAGAAAUAACAUUGCAUCGUUAGUGAUCCUUCCUCCUUUACUCUCGAGGUAUAAAAAUUAUUUCAUGAACGGGGGGUAAAGAUUCAAACCCACAUUCGACUGGGUUAAUAUCCAGAUCCUUGGCAUCCACAGUAGCCUUGAGGGUGAAUUUUUGCAGGAUGGUCACAAAGAAGAUGUAGAUUUCCAUCCGUACCAAGCUUUCCC